rnacentral:misc_RNA from 1 species
UACGUUGUGUGACUUUGGAUAGAAUUAUUUCAUAGUGGACGAAACUACUUCCAGGUCAAGUUUAGAUACAUUUUUCGGGAAUUUAGACGCCCAUAAUCUACACAUGGAUGACAAGAACAAUGACAGAGGAGAAAGUACUGCUAGACAAGCUACAAGAACUACAAAAUUUGGCUGCAUUUCUUCUCCAAAGAAGUGAAAAGUUAAACCCUUGUAUUGAAGGACUGCACAAGCUAACCAGAAAAAUUAAAGCUGAAUUAAAAUUCUUGGAAUCUCUUCAAACAAAACAAGUUCCAAUCAAAGCUAGUCACAUACAAAGCACUAAUCUCACUCAUCUACAAGGUGUUGUCAAGGCAACAGAGCAGUCUAAUGGUGUUGUCGCUGUGUUGAGAACCUUUAAUUUCAGCCCUUCAAAAGAUUCAGAACAGCAAGUCAACACUUCUUGCAUAGUUGAUGUCAUUGCUAACAAUGGAAGUAACUGGAUCAAAGUCAUUGCUAGAAAUCCUAAAUCUUUACAUAAAAUAUGGGAAGGUCAAGGACAGUUUGGAGAUAAAGACCUUUUUGACCAAGCCAAGGUUUUUGUUGAAUGCAGUAAGGAUCAUCCAGUGCAUUUUCAAAACCCAGUUGUCACGUUUUUGUUCUGCAAUGGGGUCACUGAAAGCUUGGCAAAGUGUUUAAUAGAGUUAGGGAUUGAUGUACAAGGAGACGUACUUGUUGACCCAGUAAAUGAAGCUGUAUCACUUAGGCCAGAGGCAGUAUCAUCAUCAUGCAUGCAGCUGGACAGCAAUGCUGAAUCCAAGAUUCCUAUUACUAUAAAUCGUGUUAACCUAGACGUAUCGACCAUGAUUGCCUUUGUAUCUGCUGUGACUAAUGGCGGAGCUAUGUUUGUGUUUAAGGAUAGUAUCCUAAACUCACAAGCAGAAAAAGAACGCAGGGGUCCCUUACUUCCACUUCUGAUAGAGUAUUUUGAAGGUAAAGAACUGCUUGUUUGCAGCUCUGCCAUUAACGAUUUUGAGAAAAUUGUUCAGACUAUUGGAGGUCCCAAGGAGAAGGAAAGAGCAAGCCAGCUUAUGGAUCAAAUCAGAAACGUUCCAGAUCAGCCAUCGAAAAGAUCCAUGGGUCUAAAAGACAGCGCGAGCAUCAAACUGCGAUCGAAAAUUGUUUUUGGUACGGGAGACACACUCAAAGCUGUAACAGUCACCGCCAAUUCAUCAUUCGUGAGAGCGGCAAGCAGUCAGGGGGUAAACUUCAGUGUUUUUCUACAUGAUUCAAGGGCAUUGACGGAAUCCAAAGAGAGUCAAGCCGUGCCUAUACCUUCCUCGUGAUUAACUCCACAGCAAAUCAGCUAGAAUACGCUGACAAGGCUGGCAUGAAUCAGACUGCAUUGCCUGGGGCGACUGAAGAAACUGAUAUAAGCUGAACUCAGCCUUAAUUGCAAUUACCAGAUCACUAUCGAUACGACUCCUUAGGUGAUGUCCCACUAGCCUGGUUUUGUGGCGGAAGGGCGAUCUGACAUGACACAGGUAUCAAUUAGUAUUUGUACAUUGCGCUCACGAAAAAAAAUAUAGACGAAAAUUUAUUAGCAAGAAUAUCUGCGUCGUACCCAUUCACGAUUCAAUCUCGUCGACAGAUUGCGCAUCACUAGAUAGUUCUUCAGUGGUGUUCAAGGAGGAAGGAAAGCUCUAGGGAUGAGACUUUCUUUAUCGUUAUUAAGUAUAAAAGUGAGAGUCAUCAAUAAAAGACCACACACACAAAAGCGAAUAACAAUAAUAAUUCAAUUCUACGACCUGUUUGAAUUGAUAAGUCAAAAGACUUUCAAUCGUCUGUUGAUGAAGCAAUUAAGUUCGAACACCUUGAUUUGACUUGUUCAUAACCCGCGUCCUGAAAACAAAAGGAAUGCGCCUGCUACUAGUGAAAGAAAAGCCUCUUAGACUUAUUUUAUUCACUAAUUAAUCUACAAAAUUAGAGAAUUUGAUAAGAAUUACAAUUUAUGAUUAUAAUUUUGCAAGUGAUACGUGCGC